rnacentral:tRNA from 1 species
GGUUUCGUUGUGUAGUGGUCAGCACACUCGGUGCGUAUUCGAGAGGUCCGUGGUUCGAGUCCCGGCAAAAUGA